rnacentral:rRNA from 1 species
ACGGAGGGUGCAAGCGUUAUCCGGAUUCACUGGGUUUAAAGGGUGCGUAGGCGGGCAUUUAAGUCAGUGGUGAAAUACCUGAGCUUAACUUGGGAACUGCCAUUGAUACUAUUUGUCUUGAAUGUCGUGGAGGUUAGCGGAAUAUGUCAUGUAGCGGUGAAAUGCUUAGAUAUGACAUAGAACACCUAUUGCGAAGGCAGCUAACUACGCGAAUAUUGACGCUGAGGCACGAAAGCGUGGGGAUCAAACAGGA